rnacentral:rRNA from 3 species
CCAGACAGCCAGGAUGUUGGCUUAGAAGCAGCCAUCAUUUAAAGAAAGCGUAAUAGCUCACUGGUCGAGUCGGCCUGCGCGGAAGAUGUAACGGGGCUAAACCAUGCACCGAAGCUGCGGCAGCGACGCUUAUGCGUUGUUGGGUAGGGGAGCGUUCUGUAAGCCUGCGAAGGUGGCCUGUGAGGGUUGCUGGAGGUAUCAGAAGUGCGAAUGCUGACAUAAGUAACGAUAAAGCGGGUGAAAAGCCCGCUCGCCGGAAGAC